GUGUGUGGUACCCAACUCCGGAAAGUGGCAAUCGUACAUUACUAAGUAUGAUUGAAACCUUUGGGAGUGGUGUAACGCAUGA
rnacentral:pre_miRNA from 1 species